rnacentral:ncRNA from 2 species
GACUUCAUAAUACACAAAAUUAUUUCGACAUCACUUGGGAAUGAGGUGUAAACCCUCAGCUGUCCCCGCAACUGUAAAAAUGAUUGCAUGACUACUCAUUUAAAGCCAGAUACCAAGGUUGGAAUAAAGACUUAA